AGCCGUGCAGUGAGCACAGAGUGAACUAUUCUUUCGCCUUUUACUAAAGAAUACCGUGUGCUCGCCGCCUAAAGCGGCAUACGCCUAUUUUUGGGAGGGCCUUUUCUUAUUGGAUUU
rnacentral:snRNA from 1 species